CAGUCGCCGCGGUAAUACAGAGGGUGCGAGCGUUAAUCGGAUUUACUGGGCGUAAAGCGUGCGUAGGCGGCUUCUUAAGUCGGAUGUGAAAUCCCUGAGCUUAACUUAGGAAUUGCAUUCGAUACUGGGAAGCUAGAGUGUGUCAGAGGAUGGUGGAAUUCCCGGUGUAGCGGUGAAAUGCGUAGAGAUCGGGAGGAACAUCAGUGGCGAAGGCGGCCAUCUGGGACAACACUGACGCUGAGGCACGAAAGCGUGGGGAGCAAACAGGAUUAGAUACCCGUGUAGUCCCUGUCUCUUAUAC
rnacentral:rRNA from 1 species